GCAAACUUGGUCAUUUAGAGGAAGUAAAAGUCGUAACAAGGUUUCCGUAGGUGAACCUGCGGAAGGAUCAUUAUUGAAUAUUCUUGAUGGGUUGUGGCUGGCUCCUUGGAGCAUGUGCACGCCUGUCUUGACUUCAUUCAUCCACCUGUGCACUAUUUGUAGUCUUGGGGGUUGAGAGCAGUCUACUAUCAGAAUGGCUAUGGCCUGUCUGGAUGUGAGGAUUGCUGAGUGCGAAAGCAUACAGCUCUUCUCAAAUUGACUUGCAAAACCUCUCCCUCGAGUACUAUGUAUUCAUAUACCACAUAGUAUGUUGCAGAAUGUGAUCAAUGGGCCUACGUGCCUAUAAUAAUCAUAUACAACUUUCAGCAACGGAUCUCUUGGCUCUCGCAUCGAUGAAGAACGCAGC
rnacentral:misc_RNA from 1 species